UGCUCACAUUAGUCCCGGUUCUGGAUUGAACCGGGACUAAUGGGCUAAACAGGCCUGGACGAAAGCCCUGUUUUCUACUAGUGGACUCACUUGGUGAGAAUGUCAAACGCAAUGACCUUGCUACUACGGGCUAGAGAAAUGGCUGAAACUUGCAGAGCAUAGUCCGGAGUUUAUCAAAGGUAAUAAGUGGCCUGAUCUCAAUGUUACAAAAUGGACGGUUGUAGAGCAAAUUCAGGAGGCAAUACAAACCGAUGGCAUAUCGUGUGGAUUGUUUAUGCUAAAUUAUAUGGAAUACUGGACACCACAUGGAUUGUCAGACCAGUUUACGCAAG